rnacentral:rRNA from 1 species
AGUGAACGCUGGCGGUAGGCCUAACACAUGCAAGUCGAACGGCAGCACAGUAAGAGCUUGCUCUUACGGGUGGCGAGUGGCGGACGGGUGAGGAAUACAUCGGAAUCUACUUUUUCGUGGGGGAUAACGUAGGGAAACUUACGCUAAUACCGCAUACGACCUACGGGUGAAAGCAGGGGAUCUUCGGACCUUGCGCGAUUGAAUGAGCCGAUGUCGGAUUAGCUAGUUGGCGGGGUAAAGGCCCACCAAGGCGACGAUCCGUAGCUGGUCUGAGAGGAUGUUCAGCCACACUGGAACUGAGACACGGUCCAGACUCCUACGGGAGGCAGCAGUGGGGAAUAUUGGACAAUGGGCGCAAGCCUGAUCCAGCCAUACCGCGUGGGUGAAGAAGGCCUUCGGGUUGUAAAGCCCUUUUGUUGGGAAAGAAAAGCAGCAGGUUAAUACCCCGCUGUUCUGACGGUACCCAAAGAAUAAACACCGGCUAACUUCGU